UUGACCUCAAAUCAGGUAGGACUACCCGCUGAACUUAAGCAUAUCAAUAAGCGGAGGAAAAGAAACUAACAAGGAUUCCCCUAGUAACUGCGAGUGAAGCGGGAAAAGCUCAAAUUUAAAAUCUGGCAGUCUUUGGCUGUCCGAGUUGUAAUCUAGAGAAGUAUUAUCCGCGCUGGACCGUGUACAAGUCUCCUGGAAUGGAGCGUCAUAGAGGGUGAGAAUCCCGUCUUUGACACGGACUGCCAGGGCUUUGUGAUAUGCUCUCAAAGAGUCGAGUUGUUUGGGAAUGCAGCUCAAAAUGGGUGGUAAAUUCCAUCUAAAGCUAAAUAUUGGCGAGAGACCGAUAGCGAACAAGUACCGUGAGGGAAAGAUGAAAAGAACUUUGGAAAGAGAGUUAAACAGUACGUGAAAUUGCUGAAAGGGAAACGCUUGAAGUCAGUCGCGUUGGCCAGGGAUCAACCUUGCUUUUUUGCUUGGCUUACUUUCUGGUUGAUGGGUCAGCAUCAAUUUUGACCGGUGGAAAAAGUUCAAAGGAAUGUGGCAUCUUCGGAUGUGUUAUAGCCUUUGUUCACAUACAUUGGUUGGGAUUGAGGAACUCAGCA
rnacentral:rRNA from 1 species